rnacentral:rRNA from 1 species
AACGAACGCUGGCGGCAGGCUUAACACAUGCAAGUCGAGCGCCCCGCAAGGGGAGCGGCAGACGGGUGAGUAACGCGUGGGAACGUACCUUUUGGUUCGGAACAACUCCGGGAAACUGGAGCUAAUACCGGAUAAGCCCUAACGGGGAAAGAUUUAUCGCCGAAAGAUCGGCCCGCGUCUGAUUAGCUAGUUGGUGAGGUAACGGCUCACCAAGGCGACGAUCAGUAGCUGGUCUGAGAGGAUGAUCAGCCACACUGGGACUGAGACACGGCCCAGACUCCUACGGGAGGCAGCAGUGGGGAAUAUUGGACAAUGGGCGCAAGCCUGAUCCAGCCAUGCCGCGUGAGUGAUGAAGGCCUUAGGGUAGUAAAGCUCUUUUGUCCGGGAAGAUAAUGACUGUACCGGAAGAAUAAGCCCCGGCUAACUUCGUG